rnacentral:rRNA from 1 species
GGUCCAGACUCCUACGGGAGGCAGCAGUGGGGAAUAUUGCACAAUGGGGGGAACCCUGAUGCAGCGACGCCGCGUGGGUGAAGGAGCACCUCGGUGCGUAAAGCCCUAUCGGCAGGGAAGAAACAGACGGUACCUGACUAAGAAGCCCCGGCUAACUACGUGCCAGCAGCCGCGGGAAUACGGAGGAUGCGAGCGUUAUCCGGGUUUAUUGGGUUUAAAGGGGGCGUAGGCGGACUGUUAAGUCAGCGGUAAAAGCCCGGGGCUCAACCCCGGCGAGCCGUUGAAACUGGCUGUCUUGAGAUGUCGAGAGGUAUGCGGAAUGCGCAGUGUAGCGGUGAAAUGCUUAGAUAUUGCGCAGAACUCCGAUUGCGAAGGCAGCAUACCGGCGGCGAUCUGACGCUGAGGCACGAAAGCGUGGGUAUCGAACAGGAUUAGAUACCCUGGUA